AAUAUGGUGGCCUAACUGGUUAGAACAUCUGCCUUGGAUGUGGGGGGUCACAGGUUUGAACCCUGGCCAAGUCA